AUUGAACGCUGGCGGCAUGCCUUACACAUGCAAGUCGAACGGUAACAGGUUAAGCUGACGAGUGGCGAACGGGUGAGUAAUGUAUCGGAACGUGCCCAGUCGUGGGGGAUAACUGCUCGAAAGAGCAGCUAAUACCGCAUACGACCUGAGGGUGAAAGCGGGGGAUGGCAAGACCCCGCGCGAUUGGAGCGGCCGAUAUCAGAUUAGGUAGUUGGUGGGGUAAAGGCCUACCAAGCCUACGAUCUGUAGCUGGUCUGAGAGGACGACCAGCCACACUGGGACUGAGACACGGCCCAGACUCCUACGGGAGGCAGCAGUGGGGAAUUUUGGACAAUGGACGCAAGUCUGAUCCAGCCAUGCCGCGUGCGGGAAGAAGGCCUUCGGGUUGUAAACCGCUUUUGUCAGGGAAGAAAAGGUUCUGGUUAAUACCUGGGACUCAUGACGGUACCUGAAGAAUAAGCACCGGCUAACUACGUGCCAGCCGCCGCAGUAAAAC
rnacentral:rRNA from 1 species